GGGUGAAAAACCAAGUCAUCACUGUGUAUAGCUUUGCUCACAUAAUCCCACCAAACCGAAUUUAUUAUUUAUUUAUUCAAGUAUCAUUAACAUACAGUGUUAUAUUAGUUUUAGGCAUACAAUAUAAUGAUUCAACAAUUCUAUACAUUACUCAGUGCUCAUCGCAAAUGUACUCUUAAUUCCCUUCACCUCUAUCACCCAUCCAUCCCCACCCCACCCAACUGAAUUUAAAUAUCCUUCAAAAGAGGGACAGUUGAGACAUAUUGAUUAUACCGUGUACCCAAUAUAUUAAAUCAGCUGGAUUUCCCUCUUCCUUCCAGAAAAACAGCUGGUGAUACAACUGAAAGAGUCUUCUGUGCCCUUCAGAUCUGCUGCUGUGUCUUCCUGUUCCAGACCAGCUGCCACCUGCAGUCAUGUACCCUGACCACUUCCAUUCCAGCAGAAGUUAGGUGCUACUCGUCUACACCCCCAGAACAUCUUGUACAUAAUCAUGUAACUGAGCUCUAAUAUAAUUGCUUUUCUUACCUGCCUGCCCCACUGUAAUUUCAGGGGAAGCUGCAAUUGUGUUUAAUUCAUCUAUGGCCUAGCAAAAUACCUCAGUAUACCUCAAAAUACCUCAGUCGACACUC
rnacentral:lncRNA from 12 species